rnacentral:rRNA from 1 species
UACGAAGGGGGCUAGCGUUGCUCGGAAUUACUGGGCGUAAAGCGCACGUAGGCGGUCUUUUAAGUCGGUGGUGAAAUCCUGGAGCUCAACUCCAGAACUGCCUCCGAUACUGGGAGUCUCCGAGUCCGGGAGAGGUGAGUGGAACUGCGAGUGUAGAGGUGAAAUUCGUAGAUAUUCGCAAGAACACCAGUGGCGAAGGCGGCUCACUGGCCCGGUACUGACGCUGAGGUGCGAAAGCGUGGGGAGCAAACAGG